rnacentral:rRNA from 1 species
AACGCGAAGAACCUUACCUGGGUUGAACUACGUGGGAAAAGCCGCAGAGAUGCGGUGUCCUUCGGGGUCCACGAUAGGUGGUGCAUGGCUGUCGUCAGCUCGUGUCGUGAGAUGUUGGGUUAAGUCCCGCAACGAGCGCAACCCUUGUCCUAUGUUGCCAGCGGGUAAAGCCGGGGACUCGUAGGAGACUGCCGGGGUCAACUCGGAGGAAGGUGGGGACGACGUCAAGUCAUCAUGCCCCUUAUGUCCAGGGCUGCAAACAUGCUACAAUGGCCGGUACAAAGGGCAGCUAAACCGCGAGGUCAAGCGAAUCCCAAAAAGCCGGUCUCAGUUCGGAUUGAAGUCUGCAACUCGACUUCAUGAAGCUGGAGUCGCUAGUAAUCCCGGAUCAGCAACGCCGGGGUGAAUACGUUCCCGGGUCUUGUACACACCG